UACGGGGGGAGCAAGCGUUGUUCGGAUUUACUGGGCGUAAAGGGCGCGUAGGCGGCCAGCACAAGUCAGUUGUGAGAUCUCCGGGCUUAACUCGGAAAGGUCAACUGAUACUGUGCGGCUAGAGUGCAGAAGGGGCAACUGGAAUUCUCGGUGUAGCGGUGAAAUGCGUAGAUAUCGAGAGGAACACCUGCGGCGAAGGCGGGUUGCUGGGCUGACACUGACGCUGAUGCGCGAAAGCCAGGGGAGCGAACGGG
rnacentral:rRNA from 1 species